rnacentral:rRNA from 1 species
CCCUUAGAUGUUCUGGGCUGCACGCGCGCUACACUGAAGGACUCAACGUGCUUGUCUCCUUGGCCGUCAGGUCUGGGUAACCCGUUGAACCUCCUUCGUGCUAGGGAUUGGGGCUUGUAAUUAUUCCCCAUGAACGAGGAAUUCCCAGUAAGCGCGAGUCAUCAUCUCGCGUUGAUUACGUCCCUGCCCUUUGUACACACCGCCCGUCGCUCCUACCGAUUGAAUGGUCCGGUGAAAAUUUCGGAUAGUGGCGAUGCUGGCGGUUCGCCGCCGGCGCUGCCGCUAGAAGAUCUUUAAACCUUAUCAUUUAGAGGAAGGAGAAGUCGUAACA